UCAAGGAGUUUAUGAACAAUCACCACAUCCAUAUUGAGGAGAAAGCUCACUCAGGCUACUGAACUUGUAAAUACAGUUGCGCUCAUGAUAGGGAUUCCGUUUAUGGCGUGAGGUGAAGUUAGAAGCAUACCUGGAUAUAUACUCAUAGUGGCUUCCAUACCUAUCUCCGGUAGAACUAACAAAAUAGAAACCUAUGACUAGUAGACUCAUACGAAAACUUGAAAGAUCUAUUUCAUUAGAAGAGAAAGUUCACUAAUCUAUGGCCUAGAAAGCCAAAAGAAAUGAUCAGUCCAAUGACAGAAGGACAGAAGCGCGUUCCCUUCGUCCUCAAUGUGCGUCCACAGCUUACUCGAGUGCUUGAGAUAUUCAUUUGGUUUAAGGCACCUUCAUUGUAGGAAGGAAAAAACCCGGAUCCCCGGGCGGAUCAUUCCCUCUAACAAGCUAAACAAGAGUCCAGGAGCGAGAGAGGAAAAUCCAAAGUGCAAAUAACAUAAUAUGAAAAAAUAAAAAAGUUCUAUUGAGUUGUUGAAAAAAAAGGCACUUUAGAAGCGAAAGUAGGCUAUUCUCGUAAAGGAAUAUCGUAACGGGCGACUAGGUAAUAUAGAAGGCCGACCCACCCGAAUCUCUUGGUGGCCUUUCCCUCGGCUUCCAUCACAGAAGAUGUCAGCAAUAGCAAUCCUUCAGUCAAUAGAAUCAGUAACUAUACUACUUAAAUAGUGAAAUACCAACCAACACAUAAAGCAAUAACCAGAUAGAUAGAAUGAUAACAGGUAAUACGAAGAUAUCAACACAGCCGGAGUCACGAGGCUCGAUAAUGACCAAUGGGUUAGGAUCUGAGGAAGCUUAGUUUGGAUGAUGGAAUAUUCGCUGUUCUGAUUGUUGAGAUACUGCAAAUCCACUUAUCCAACAAUUUCAGUCCAUUUUCCUACUUUUUCUGCAAGGGGGGGAAAGCAUUAUUAUAUCCUUAAUAUGACUCUCUGUCACACGGAUGCUGCUGGGCUGCUACAAAACCCCUAUAGUCGAAAAAAAGAUCGAAACAGGGAUAAAACGUAGGAUAACCCAGAUCACUCGGACUAGCUGAACUCUCCAGAACAAACACAACCUAGGUGGUUUGACUAACGUUUUGGCACAUUAGACUAACCUAAGAGAACUCCUGGCUACAUUCAGUCCUGUCGAGAUACAAGCUGUUACCAACCUGAUACAACGCAAGUCACAAGCUUGACACAGCGAGAAUGGCUGCAACUGACAACUCCUGCAUCUGAGAUUGACAACUCUAGUAACAGAGAAUGACAACUCCUGCAAUAGAUAUUUACAGAGCAUGACACUCUCAACUGAGCUCAAUCCAGCUGUGAACAAUAAACAACACUGAAAGUAAACAACACGGUUAUCACAAAACUUGGAUUCCGGAUUACAACACUAUAGGCAAUGAACCACCACUAACGGCCCAUAACGUUAGCUGAUAGCCGCUGACCGUGGAGUACUUGCCGAUCCAUCAGCGAGGACUGUAUCAUUUAGCGAGCUAAAAACUUAAGGAACAUGUAUGUGAGAGUUCCACUUUAGCUCCCUCAACACCAGGCGGGACGAGCAGCCCUAUACCACGUGUAGCCACACUCUAGUGUCCUUUUCUACUUAGUUGGACAGAUCACUUCAGAAAAUCGUAUAAAAAUCAAGCAAGAAAACGGAUGCGCUAACGCGCAACGGCUUUCGCGCUAGUUGCUCAAAAAAUCAUAUAAAAAUCAAGCAAGAAAACGGAUGCGCUAACGCGCAACGGCUUUCGCGCUAGUUGCUCAAUCCGUUGCUUGCUUCUCUUCUGUCUUGGAAAAGUGAGGAUUUCCUAUCUGAUCGAAGGGAAGGAAGAGAGGUGGAAAGUGUUGCUGUAGAUCAGAAGAGCGU